rnacentral:tRNA from 1 species
GACGGCGACAGCGAGGACGCCGAGUGCGCUCUGAGCGUGCACCAGCGGCAGGGCAACGAUGCGCCCGGGUUCGCCACCGGCGCCGCCGCC